CUUGAACGCUGGCGGCAGGCCUAACACAUGCAAGUCGAACGGAAACAUGGAUCCUCUUGCUGAUUCGCUGUCGAGUGGCGGCCGUGUGAAUAAUGUCUUGGAACCUCCCUGAUGGAUGGGGAUACCUCCUGAAAACGGUAGCUAAUCCCGCAUAUCGUCGCAAGCCCAUAGUGCGGGACUUUCGUGCCUCUUUCCUUUUGAUGUGCCCAGAUGGGAUUAGCUAGUAGGUGGGGUAACGGCUCACCUAGGCGACGAUCCCUAGCUGGUCUGAGAGGAUGACCAGACACACUGGAACUGAGACACGGUCCAGACGCCUACGGGAGGCAGCAGUGGGGAAUAUUGCACAAUGGGCGAAAGCCUGAUGCAGCCACGCCGCGUGUGUGAAGAAGGCGUUCGGGUUGGAAAGAACUUUAAGAAGGGAGGAAGGGAGAAAAAGUUAGACGUUUGCAGAGUGACGUUACAAACAGAAGAAGAAACGGCUAACUCCGUG
rnacentral:rRNA from 1 species